AUUAUUUUGUCAGAUUUAUGAGUUAAAUUUAGAAUUUAAUUAAAUGUAAUUAAUUACAUAAAUAAUA
rnacentral:tRNA from 1 species